rnacentral:rRNA from 1 species
UACGUAGGGUGCGAGCGUUAAUCGGAAUUACUGGGCGUAAAGCGUGCGCAGGCGGUUUUGUAAGCCAGAUGUGAAAUCCCCGGGCUUAACCUGGGAAUGGCAUUUGGGACUGCAAGGCUCGAGUGCGGCAGAGGAGACUGGAAUUCCUGGUGUAGCAGUGAAAUGCGUAGAUAUCAGGAGGAACACCGGUGGCGAAGGCGGAUCUCUGGGCCAUUACUGACGCUGAGGAGCGAAAGCGUGGGGAGCGAACAGG